GACGAACGCUGGCGGCGUGCUUAACACAUGCAAGUCGAACGGAAAGGCCCUGCUGUUGUGGGGUGCUCGAGUGGCGAACGGGUGAGUAACACGUGAGUAACCUGCCCUUGACUUUGGGAUAACGUCAGGAAACUGGGGCUAAUACCGGAUAGGAGCUCCUGCUGCAUGGUGGGGGUUGGAAAGUUUCGGCGGUUGGGGAUGGACUCGCGGCUUAUAAGCUUGUGGGUGGGGUAGUGGCUACCCAAGGCUUGGACGGGUAGCCGGCCUGAGAGGGUGACCGGCCACAUUGGGACUGAGACACGGCCAAGACUCCUACGGGAGGCAGCAGUGGGGAAUAUUGCAAAAUGGGCGGAAGCCUGAUGCAGAAACGCCGCGUGCGGGAUGACGGACUUCGGGUUGUAAACCGCUUUCGCCUGUGACGAAGCGUGAGUGACGGUAAUGGGUAAAGAAGCACCGGCUAAAUACGUG
rnacentral:rRNA from 1 species